GUUGCCAAUUUUUCCCCAGAACUUUUUUGCACGUCCUUCAUUUCUUGUGAGAAUAUUUUGUAUUUCAUUUUUUGGCUAAUGUUUGUGUGUUUGUCUGUGUUGUUGUGUUGCAGAGAUUGGGAUUCUUCAACAUUCUCAAUGGCAUCGAAGAAUAUGAGUUUUUUUUUCUGAACAUAUAACGCGUUUGAUUAAAUGUCUUACUCAAAUUAUUUUAGAGCACAUAACAAAGGCAUGUAAUUCUAUUAGAUGGGAUAUGGCAGAUUAUGAAAACAUUAAUUGGUGAAAAACUCAACAACACAAAUUAGUGGCAGAUCGUGUCUUCCAUUAUGGAAUUUUUUCCCGGGAACUAUUUUUCUUUAUUUUUUCUCCUAUCAUAUAUCGGGGAUUGCUGAAUUUUGGUUUCAUUGCUUUUUGGAAAUAAGGUAUUGUAAUUGGGAGGAUUAGUAGCAGUAUGGAUAGAGGAUUUGUGAUUGAUUUUCGAAAGAUUGGUGCUGAUCAAGAUAUUGUGUCAAUGGGGAAAAGGCAUAUAAUUUCAGAUUAUGAACACCAAAAGGGGCAUGAGCUCGCAGUGCAUGUACUCUAUCACCUGCGCAAAUGAAUUUAUCUCUAUUUGCAAAAGUUUCUUCUGGAAGUCAGUCCAAGGUGAAAAAAAUGGCAGUACCGUGUGGAUCGCCAAGUCGAUAUAUAUUGGCGCCUUUUGUUUUGUUUGGAUGACUGUCUUCAUUAUGUGUUUUCUCGAUUAAGAAAUAAAGAUGCAG